rnacentral:tRNA from 1 species
AGGGGUAUAGCUCAAUUGGCAGAGCAUCGGUUUCCAAAACCGAAGGUUGGGGGUUCGAUUCCCUCUGCCCCUGCCA